GCAUGGGUGGGGGUUGAAAGCUCCGGCGGUGAAGGAUGAGCCCGCGGCCUAUCAGCUUGUUGGUGGGGUAAUGGCCCACCAAGGCGACGACGGGUAGCCGGCCUGAGAGGGCGACCGGCCACACUGGGACUGAGACACGGCCCAGACUCCUACGGGAGGCAGCAGUGGGGAAUAUUGCACAAUGGGCGAAAGCCUGAUGCAGCGACGCCGCGUGAGGGAUGACGGCCUUCGGGUUGUAAACCUCUUUCAGCAGGGAAGAAGCGAAAGUGACGGUACCUGCAGAAGAAGCGCCGGCUAACUACGUGCCAGCAGCCGCGGUAAUACGUAGGGCGCAAGCGUUGUCCGGAAUUAUUGGGCGUAAAGAGCUCGUAGGCGGCUUGUCACGUCGGAUGUGAAAGCCCGAGGCUUAACCUCGGGUCUGCAUUCGAUACGGGCUAGCUAGAGUGUGGUAGGGGAGAUCGGAAUUCCUGGUGUAGCGGUGAAAUGCGCAGAUAUCAGGAGGAACACCGGUGGCGAAGGCGGAUCUCUGGGCCAUUACUGACGCUGAGGAGCGAAAGCGUGGGGAGCGAACAGGAUUAGAUACCCUGGUAGUCCACGCCGUAAACGUUGGGAACUAGGUGUUGGCGACAUUCCACGUCGUCGGUGCCGCAGCUAACGCA
rnacentral:rRNA from 1 species